rnacentral:rRNA from 1 species
ACUUCGGGAAACCGGAGCUAAUACCGGAUAAUAUUUUGAACCGCAUGGUUCAAAAGUGAAAGACGGUCUUGCUGUCACUUAUAGAUGGAUCCGCGCUGCAUUAGCUAGUUGGUAAGGUAACGGCUUACCAAGGCAACGAUGCAUAGCCGACCUGAGAGGGUGAUCGGCCACACUGGAACUGAGACACGGUCCAGACUCCUACGGGAGGCAGCAGUAGGGAAUCUUCCGCAAUGGGCGAAAGCCUGACGGAGCAACGCCGCGUGAGUGAUGAAGGUCUUCGGAUCGUAAAACUCUGUUAUUAGGGAAGAACAUAUGUGUAAGUAACUGUGCACAUCUUGACGGUACCUAAUCAGAAAGCCACGGCUAACUACGUGCCAGCAGCCGCGGUAAUACGUAGGUGGCAAGCGUUAUCCGGAAUUAUUGGGCGUAAAGCGCGCGUAGGCGGUUUUUUAAGUCUGAUGUGAAAGCCCACGGCUCAACCGUGGAGGGUCAUUGGAAACUGGAAAACUUGAGUGCAGAAGAGGAAAGUGGAAUUCCAUGUGUAGCGGUGAAAUGCGCAGAGAUAUGGAGGAACACCAGUGGCGAAGGCGACUUUCUGGUCUGUAACUGACGCUGAUGUGCGAAAGCGUGGGGAUCAAACAGGAUUAGAUACCCUGGUAGUCCACGCCGUAAACGAUGAGUGCUAAGUGUUAGGGGGUUUCCGCCCCUUAGUGCUGCAGCUAACGCAUUAAGCACUCCGCCUGGGGAGUACGACCGCAAGGUUGAAACUCAAAGGAAUUGACGGGGACCCGCACAAGCGGUGGAGCAUGUGGUUUAAUUCGAAGCAACGCGAAGAACCUUACCAAAUCUUGACAUCCUUUGACAACUCUAGAGAUAGAGCCUUCCCCUUCGGGGGACAAAGUGACAGGUGGUGCAUGGUUGUCGUCAGCUCGUGUCGUGAGAUGUUGGGUUAAGUCCCGCAACGAGCGCAACCCUUAAGCUUAGUUGCCAUCAUUAAGUUGGGCACUCUAAGUUGACUGCCGGUGACAAACCGGAGGAAGGUGGGGAUGACGUCAAAUCAUCAUGCCCCUUAUGAUUUGGGCUACACACGUGCUACAAUGGACAAUACAAAGGGCAGCGAAACCGCGAGGUCAAGCAAAUCCCAUAAAGUUGUUCUCAGUUCGGAUUGUAGUCUGCAACUCGACUACAUGAAGCUGGAAUCGCUAGUAAUCGUAGAUCAGCAUGCUACGGUGAAUA